rnacentral:rRNA from 1 species
AUUGAACGCUGGCGGCAGGCCUAACACAUGCAAGUCGAACGAGUGGCGGACGGGUGAGUAAUGUCUGGGAAACUGCCUGAUGGAGGGGGAUAACUACUGGAAACGGUAGCUAAUACCGCAUACCAUCAGAUGUGCCCAGAUGGGAUUAGCUAGUAGGGGGGGUAAUGGCUCACAUAGGCGACGAUCCCUAGCUGGUCUGAGAGGGUGACCAGCCACACGGGAACUGAGACACUGUCCAGACUCCUACGUGAGGCAGCAGUGGGGAAUAUUGCACAAUGGGCGCAAGCCUGAUGCAGCCAUGCCGAGUGUGUGAAGAAGGCCUGCGGGUUGUAAAGCACUUUCAGCGAGGAGGCGUUACUCGCAGAAGAAGCACCGGCUAACUCCGUGCCAGCCGCCGCGGUAAUAC